GAUCAUGGCUCAGGAUGGACGCUGGCGGCGUGCCUAACACAUGCAAGUCGAGCGAUUCUCUUCGGAGAAGAGCGGCGGACGGGUGAGUAACGCGUGGGUAACCUGCCCUAUACACACGGAUAACAUACCGAAAGGUAUGCUAAUACGAGAUAACAUAAGAGAUUCGCAUGGAUUUCUUAUCAAAGCUUUUGCGGUAUAGGAUGGACCCGCGUCUGAUUAGCUAGUUGGUGAGG
rnacentral:rRNA from 1 species